rnacentral:rRNA from 1 species
ACUCCCUGUGUGCCUUGCCUCCCCGCUGUCUCAUGAAUGAUGACAGCCUUUGGGUUGUAAAGUUCUAUCAACAGGGAAGAUUAUGACGGUACCUGUUGAAUUUAGCCCCGGCAAACUUUGUGCCAGCAGCCGCGGUAUACAAGGGGCGAACGUUACUCGAUUUAUUGGCGUAAAGAGUACGUAGAUGGAAAUGGAAGUUGACUGUUAAAAAUCCAAGCCCAACUUGGAGAAUGCAGCCAAAACUCCAUUUCUCGAACGUAGUUUAGGAUAGCGGAAUUCUAAGUGGAGGAGUGAUAUCCAUAGAUACUUAGAGGAACACCAGAGGCGAAGGCGGCUAUCUGAGCUACAGUUGACAUUGAGGUACGAAAGCGUAGGGAGCAACCAGGAUUAGAUACCCUGCUAGUCUACGCUGUAAACUAUGAGUGCUAGAUUUUGGUGCGUUUCGUGCGCUUCAAAUUCAAAGCUAACGCAUUAAGCACUCCGCCUGGGGAGUACGACCGCAAGGUUAAAACUCAAAGAAAUUGACGGGAACCCGSACUAAGCGGCGGAGCGUGUUGCUUAAUUCGAUGCUACACGCUAAACCUUACCACCUUUUGACAUGCAAGUAGAUCCCUUCGAUGAAAGUCAGGGAGCGGAUCAAGCCGGAUUUGUACAGGUGCUGCAUGGCUGUCGUCAGUUCGUGAUGUGAAUUGUAAGGUUAAGUCCYAGAACGMACGCAAMMYCUWKYWKUMGUUGCUAACACUCAUAGUUUACAGCGUAGGGAGCAACCAGGAUUAGAUACCCUGCUAGUCUACGCUGUAAACUAUGAGUGCUAGAUUUUGGUGCGUUUCGUGCGCUUCAAAUUCAAAGCUAACGCAUUAAGCACUCCGCCUGGGGAGUACGACCGCAAGGUUAAAACUCAAAGAAUGACGGUACGGCAGCAAGGCGAGCACAGGGAUUAGGNUAUNGAUCNACACCU